UAGUAUCCUACUAACGACCUUAUGGUUUGGAUUCAAUCAUUGGUUCUAUAAGAACCCCUUCAUUCAAAAUACCUUUUGAAGCAGUUUCUAAAACAAUAUAUCGUCAUAUAUUUCGUUUGUAUACUUUAUACAAACUUUGCUCCAACCUUGAGACCAUUGUAGUACAAUACUAACAAUACAUUCAUAUGAUUAGUACUUCAUCCAUUAUGAAGUUCCAUUUGUUGAAAUGGGUUAUUUUUCACUUUGGUUAAUAACCUAAGUGAAUGCAAGCUUCCAGAGUCCCACUCUGAUGUUUCUUUCUUAAAGGCAAUAAUACUCUAUCAGUUGCUUUGGUUCUGAUCCUGGGAUAUAGAGUCAUAUCUUAAAGUGACAAACUCUGUAGUUCUUCACCUUUGGAUAUCUACUUCACAAGUCCAUACAUGUGUCCCUUUUUGUGAUUUUGUGACACAUUCAUUAUAAGGGUUAUGAAAGUGUUUUUCUAUCACAUAGGAAAAUGCUUUCUUAAAUCUACAACAUUUGAGAUUUAAUUCCCAUAUAACAUUAUUGAGAUAGCCUUGCUAUAUCAAUAAGUCCAAUUUCAAGUCUAUACUUCAAAAUUGACCAUGUCAUGUUUUGUCAUUUCUCGAGUAACAUCUAUGUUUUAUCAAGUCUAUCGAAUAGACUUUAUUCACAUCUUGUUGCUCAAAUUAUGACAUCACUCCCAAUGGCCUUGUUGUAACUUAGCAUUCAUUCAAAAUUAACAAUUAUAUUUUCUUGAUUUGAAUGCAUAUUGCUCCAACUAACUUAAAUGAAUCAUACACAAAAGAAUUCCUUCUCAAGUAAUUCCAUUUGAAAUGUGUGACUUGUUUCAUUAAGUCUAUUCAUUUAAAUUAUAUGAUGUCAUACACCAUACUUCAAGUUUUAGUCAUACUAAGACCUUUAAUGUAGUCAUAUAAGAAUUAUCCAAGUCUUUAGUGGAAGCAUGGCUCCUACUAAGGAUAUAGAAACUCAACCAUUCCUUCUAGGUGGUUGAUAUAAUUCUUUAUCAAAAAACUACAUAGAGCAAUAUUGUUACAUGAGAUGUUGAAUUUGGAUUGUCUUGUUGUUAAAUCAUAUGUUGUGACUCAUUUUGAACUUAUUUCCCUUUUGUUUCAUCAACUUGUCCAUAUGCUUAGUUAUUUAGCUUGUUCUCAUAAAAGAGAAUGAUGGACAACUCCCAACAUAUAACUAUUUUAUGCUAGGUUGACGAAACCAACAUUCAAAGACUAUUCUUUAGAAUGUCACACAACAUAGAAUUUUAACGUUUGAAGAGCUUGAGUUCUUUAACAAUUAAAAUUACAAACUCUUAAUAAUAGUCAAGUACUAUUAUCCUUUAGACAACUAUAAACCAAUCACAUUCAAGUUUAUAUCCAUUUUCACACCUCCCACUAUUUCUCAUGACUUUAAUGAGAAAUCAUUUCAUACAUUCAAAAUGUAUAAAAGUGGAGUAUAUUGGAAGAAGACAUUGUGUAGUAGCUUUAAAACAUUUCAAGCUUAUUUGUUUCAAUCUUCACUAAGUUAAUGUCUUGUUAUUAAGUGACUAAAGUCUUUAAACAUUUUAUAGAUUUAGACACUUCUUUCUUGGUUUAAUCACUAACACAAUUGACAUUUUAAAACAAUUUUAAAAUUGCCCAAUUAGUUGUUCAAAAUUACUAAUUGAAUCAAGAGUGAUCUUGAUCAUUGUGUUUCAAGUGACAGCCAUAUAAGAAACGUUUUUCUUAUUACUUGUAUCAUUAUAAUGUGAUCUUCCUUUUCUUCAAGAAAGGAUUCUCUAGACUAUUAUCAAUUCAUAUAGAACUCAUAGGUAGACAAAUGGAACCAAAUCUAAAGAUUCAUUGUAUCCUUUUAUGUCCUACAUGUGAGAUCUAUCCAUAAUUGAUAAAUCUAAAGUUUGAUUAUCACAUUACAAUAAGUGAUAUAACUCUUGUAUCUCAUCUAGGAUACAACAAGACAAUUUUCAAUUCAUAA
rnacentral:lncRNA from 1 species